UUUUUUGUUUUAUUCAUGAUUUUCUAUAAAUGGGGGGGGGAGGGGGGGGCACUCAAACGGCAUGGUUUCUGAACAUUAAUUAGACUCCAUUUUGCAUGCUUACUAUUUUACCAAUAAGAAUUGUAUUGAAAUUUGAAAGCCAUUGUUUUCAACUACAUAAAGCCUGCAUGGGUAGUAGCAUUAAACUUUAUUAUUUUUCCAAGGUCUCUGUGAGACAUCGAGUCAUUCAGCAUGGGCAAGCAGUACAUGUAAAAAGAAAGGCGCCGCUUUUUGGGUGUACUAUUUGUCCACGUUGAAUGGCUGGAAGUGCUGCAGGUAUCUUGGGA